CGAGAACCCGGGAACCAGGCGGCCACAACAAAGGUUGAAGGUGAGGAAAGAAGGAAAAAUUUCUGGCUGAUCCUGCCUCUGAAAUCACCAAAUAUAGUGAAGUAUGAGAUCAGAUACAGUUUCCCUGUGUGCACCUACCUCCACUCAGCAUUACUGGCAAAUGAUCAUCCAAUGUUUUUGCCUCCUUCUUGAUUCCUUUCCAAGUCAACCUCAAGAGCUGUGUAUGACUCAUCCCCUUCUUUGACUGUUUGAGAGGUCCACAACCAAAUGAACUCUGGACAAGCCCAAACUCUUAUUCUGGGAAUGAAACAUCUGACAUUAGCUCCAACCUCAGAUAAAUGACAUAGACAAAAGAUCUAAGUUGAACCAGGUAUUCGUUUUACUGUAUGUAAUGUAGCAAACUAAAAGUGUACUAAAUUAUUGGCUUCUCAUGAGCAGGGACCAUGCUUUUCCCCCCUCCACACAGAGGUAAAGCAUAAAAUGGGCCUUCAAUAAAUAUGUAUUGAUUGAUUGACUGACUGGUAAC
rnacentral:lncRNA from 1 species